UUAUUCACGUAACCUCGUGAUCAUCGUCUUCACCUUGCAACCUAAAACGACGGCGUUGAGCCCCUCUGUCACUCUUCCUUCUAAGCCGUGGCAUUUCUACCGCCGCAUUUCCCUCGUAGGUCCUCUGAUGCUAAGCACACCGUGAGCGACGCUUCCACCCUUUCCAUUUUCGAGCCGCGUUUCAAAUCAUGCCCAAUCUUGGUCACAAACCCUAACUCACCCCAAUGGAAAACGAAGAUCCUCGAAACGGUGAAUCGUCUCAGCAGCACCAACCCACCAAGAAGCCCCGUCUCACUCGGUUCAUAACCGAAGCCGAAAUCCGAGGAGAGUUCGCUCACCACCUGUCUGGCAUAGCCCGAAUCAACAACGGUAGCUUCGGGAGCUGCCCCGGAUCUGUGCUCGCUGCCCAAAGGAAGUGGCAGCUCAAGUUCCUUCAGCAGCCCGACGAUUUCUACUUCAAUACACUCCGCCAGGGGAUACUCCACUCGCGGACAGUUGUUAAAGACCUUAUUAAUGCUGACAACGUGGAUGAGGUCUCCCUCGUCGACAACGCCACCACCGCUGCUGCCAUCGUCCUCCAGCAGGUAGGCCGUUCCUUCGCCGACGGUAAAUUCCACAACAACGACACUGUUUUGAUGCUUCAUUGCGCCUAUGAAGCUGUAAAAAAAUCUAUCCACGCUUAUGUCACGUGUGCUGGCGGAUCAGUAAUAGAAGUUCAGCUUCCAUUUCCCGUUAACUCCGAUGCAGAGAUUAUCACAGAAUUCAGGAAAGGGAUAGAGAAAGGUAAGUCCGAUGGUAGAAAAGUUAGGUUAGCAAUAAUUGAUCACAUCACAUCAAUGCCAUGUGUCGUGACUCCAGUCCGGGAAUUGGUUAAAAUUUGUAGAGAAGAAGGCGUAGACCAAAUCUUUGUAGAUGCAGCUCACGCUAUGGGUAGUGUUAAAGUAGAUGUUAAAGAAAUUGGGGCUGAUUUUUAUGUCAGCAAUUUGCACAAGUGGUUUUUUUGCCCACCAUCGGUUGCAUUUUUGUAUUGUAAGAAGACAAGCUCCUCCUCUGAUGUGCAUCACCCUGUGGUUUCACAUGAAUAUGGGAAUGGACUGCCAAUAGAGAGUGCUUGGAUUGGGACGCGGGAUUACAGUUCGCAGUUGGUAGUAUCAUCUGCUUUGGAGUUUGUAAAUCGAUUUGAAGGAGGAAUCUGUGGGAUAAUGAAGAGGAACCGUGAGAAGGUUGUUGAAAUGGGAAAAAUGUUAGCGGAGUCUUGGGGAACAAAACUUGGGGCCCCACCGGAGAUGUGCGCAAGCAUGAUUAUGGUCGGCUUGCCUUCAACAUUGAGGGUAAUGAGUCAAGACGAUGCUUUGAGGUUAAGGUCGUAUUUGCGUUCGAAUCAUGGCGUUGAGGUUCCAAUUCAUUAUCAGGCUCCUAGAGAUGGUGAGGCGGUUGUGAAGGAUAAGGAUGAGUUCAUAAAAGCGUAUGCAAGGAUCUCUCAUCAGGUCUAUAAUACGCUUGACGAUUAUUGCAAGCUUAGGGAUGCUAUAAAUCAGAUUGUUGAUGAUCCCCAGAUAUCUGAAAAGCUUUUCACAGAAUGAAUAGGUAUUCUUUUUGCACACAAUUGGAAUUUCUUGUGAAGUAUUUAUUUGGAAAUGUAAAAUUUCUGUGAUUUGUGCUGAUUGUGUCAAUCUUUAGUACUUGACAUAGUCCCUUUACAUUUCCAUUACAAUAUAACUCAACGAACUUGAGGACCAAUUAAUGAUGGAUGAUCAGUUAUGGAUCGUUUAUGUGCUGCCAAUGAGAGGUAUGCAAUUUUGGACGUGCAAAUGCCUGGCACUCGUCUGUUCUAUAUAUGCUUUCUUAUGCUAUAAAAUUCUCGGUUAGGAAGUGUUUGCCCUCGUUUUUUUUUUUUUUUGUGAAUGUUUUUUUACCUGGUUAGUGAUGUAACUGGUAAGAGGGGUUACAAGAGUAGGGUUUUUUUUUUUUUUUUUUUUUUUUUUUUUUUUCUAGAUUUAGGUUUCAAAAUGUAUGAGCUUUUGGGUGUAUUGAGCUUAAAGUGUUGCUUUUGCUAAUGCAUUAAGGAUUUCUUGGAUAAACACAUCAGCCAAAAGCGAAGAGAAAACGAUUAGGUAGGAUGGAGACAAAAGAGGAAGCUCACUAAGAAGGGAUGACAUGGUCCUUAAGACAAUAUGGCACCGUUUCGUGCCUUUUUGUGGAGAAUGGCUUCAGCCUUCAGGCAUGGCCUAUGAAAUUGGAGAUAGUAGAUGGGUGAUUGGAAUGAUCUGGUUGGAAGAGACUUGUUUAAAGGACUUGAUGCGAUUGGCAAUCAUCUUUUGGCUUAGUUCAUCUGCUUGGAUGCAGCAAGCCAGGUUGUUGCUGGCAAUCUUUAAUUUUUGCAACUUUAUGCCAUUCUUGGACUGGGGAACUGUUAGUCUGUCAGUUCUUGGCUUUAUAGGUGUAAUUUGAGAACUGCGUGAAGUUACUUUGAAAAUAUGAGGGAGGAUAAUAUGUAGUGAAAUUCUCAAAUGACCUCUUCUCAUUUGCAGUAUUUUUUGUGAGCUUACAGUAAGCAUUUGCAUUCCCUGGUUCUGUGA